AGAGUUUGAUCAUGGCUCAGAUUGAACGCUGGCGGAAUGCUUUACACAUGCAAGUCGAGCGGCAGCGCGGGGCAACCUGGCGGCGAGCGGCGAACGGGUGAGUAAUGCAUCGGAACAUGUCCAUUCGUGGGGGAUAGCCCGGCGAAAGCCGGAUUAAUACCGCAUACGCCCUGAGGGGGAAAGCGGGGGACCGUAAGGCCUCGCGCGAAUGGGUUGGCCGAUGUCCGAUUAGCUAGUUGGCGGGGUAAAGGCCCACCAAGGCGAUGAUCGGUAGCUGGUCUGAGAGGAUGAUCAGCCACACUGGGACUGAGACACGGCCCAGACUCCUACGGGAGGCAGCAGUGGGGAAUUUUGGACAAUGGGGGCAACCCUGAUCCAGCCAUUCCGCGUGAGUGAAGAAGGCCUUCGGGUUGUAAAGCUCUUUUGUCCGGAACGAAACGGUGAACGUGAAUAUCGUUCGCUACUGACGGUACCGGAAGAAUAAGCACCGGCUAACUACGUGCCAGCAGCCGCGGUAAUACGUAGGGUGCGAGCGUUAAUCGGAAUUACUGGGCGUAAAGCGUGCGCAGGCGGUUUUGUAAGCCAGAUGUGAAAGCCCCGGGCUUAACCUGGGAAUGGCAUUUGGGACUGCAAGGCUUGAGUGCGGCAGAGGAGACUGGAAUUCCUGGUAGCAGUGAAAUGCGUAGAUAUCAGGAGGAACACCGAUGGCGAAGGCAGGUCUCUGGGCUGACACUGACGCUCAUGCACGAAAGCGUGGGGAGCAAACAGGAUUAGAUACCCCCGUAGUCC
rnacentral:rRNA from 1 species